ACGCCACUACAUCGCCAAGAUCGAUCCCCUCCCAUCCGCCAUGGUCGAUCCCCAUCCUCCCUCACAGAAAUCGUCGUGCCAUGUUCGAUCCUCGUCUCUCGUCGCAGAAAUCGCUCGCACAGCCGCAUCUUCCGCCGCCACGGCUUCUUUCGUCGCCUUUCUUAGCAGCGGCGCCCUUGGCUCCCUUUCUUCUCCAUGAGCACUGUGUGCAGGUCUGAGGUGGCGUCCAAGAAGAUCGGCAGCAGCGCCCUUGCUUUCCCCUCCUUUGGCAACGAUCUGCAUGCUCCGGUUUACCUUGCUUUUAUUCAGUUCAAGGUUAACACUGCCUCCAUUUUACCGUCUUAUAAGUUAUACACACCUGUUUUGGCUGGUGCACCUCUACUAGCUAGCGAUGAUGAGUUCGCUACAUAUUUCCGUUUGUCUUCAAGGCGAUCAAUGCCACAGUGUCUAUAUACCAGUCCAAUUGGUGCUUAUAUUGGCAAUAUUUCCAUUUGGUGCAUUGAUCUUCAGUUCAAGAUAAAUAAUGGUCUGCGUAUGUUCUAUUUUUCUUACCGUUGUCAUUGUCAAAUGUUUGUUGGGGAUGUUACUGAUACACGAGCUUUUGAUCUACACAAAUGCCAUGGUGGUUGUUACCUCUAACCAUAUUAUAUUACCAUUGCAUUUAUAUCUUAAGAUUUAAAUUGCAUUUCGACAUAAAGGGAUUAUGAUAUUUUAAAAUUUUUCUAAUUUACGUUUGGUAUACCAUGACAAUAAUAUAGCAGUUUAGGUUUUUAGUUAAUUGUAUUGGUUGAGAAUGAGUUGGAGUUGUUUUGUUGGAUUUCUAUCGUUACAAUUGUUGCUUUCAAUUGUGUACGAGAAAAUAUUUCAAACUUAACUUGACAGGCCAUAUAUAUUCUGCAGUAUAUUUUACACACCCAUUGGCUUGGAAACUAAGUCUAACUAGCAUAUUUUAUUUGAUUCAACCACUCUUUUGUUGAUUAAAUAAUGGUUAGUUUGUCCCAGAUUAUUUGAAUUUCUACAUAUAUAAUUGAUCGCCUUUUUUCAUGACUUUCUUUUAGUAGAGUUUAUGGUUUGAUGCAUGUGGUUUACUAUCUGCUACGUAUGUUAACUUAAAAAGGAAUCUGAGCUUGUAAUAGUUGUGUGCUACUAUUGUCAUUUUAACAUGGGUCUAUAUUGUAACUGGGAUCUACCUGAAGUUGAGUUGGUGGUUCUACUAUUUUGUAAUCACGAUGAAGUUGACUUGGUUCUGCCAUUAUGUAAUCUCAAGCGAUAUGCUGAUUUUUUUUCUUAUGUCUAUACAUAUUACGAGUUGGUG
rnacentral:lncRNA from 1 species